rnacentral:pre_miRNA from 1 species
AGUGGAAUUGCUGGGUCAAAAUGGGAAUUCAAUUCCACUUUUUGAGGAGAUGUCAAAUUGUUUUCUGUAGCAGAUGUACCAUUUUACAUUCUCACUAGCAAU